rnacentral:lncRNA from 1 species
GGCUUUGCCCCGUGGCUUGCUCCCCUCCUCAGUACUGUUCUCUCCCGUGUGGCACAGCCAGGCUUACUCAUCAUUUCAUCUGCAGCCCUGCCCAUACCAGCGUGUGCUGAACGAUGUUGAACCUUAGGCGACGGAGGCCGACUGGAACCAGGGCUCUGAGUGACAGAGACGCAGUUAUGUCUAAGGACAUACGCUAGAAUGGCUGAUGCAGGGCGCAAGCUCGAUUCCUGCAGAUGUGUGUUAAUGAGCAGCUCCCUCAUUUUUGCAAAGCUGCCAAUCAGAGUGGACCAGCUGGAG